rnacentral:rRNA from 1 species
UACGUAGGGUGCAAGCGUUGUCCGGAAUCAUUGGGCGUAAAGAGCUCGUAGGCGGUCUGUCGCGUCUGCUGUGAAAACCUGGGGCUUAACCCUGGGCUUGCAGUGGGUACGGGCAGACUAGAGUGCGGUAGGGGAGACUGGAAUUCCUGGUGUAGCGGUGAAAUGCGCAGAUAUCAGGAGGAACACCGGUGGCGAAGGCGGGUCUCUGGGCCGUAACUGACGCUGAGGAGCGAAAGCAUGGGUAGCGAAUAGG